AUUUUUUGUGGGCCCACGUCUCAUCUCUCUCUCCCUCCCGAUUCUUCUCCAACCUCUCUCUCUCUCUCUCCCACACACCACCGCCGCCGCUCCUCCCACUUUAUCCCUCACCGCCGCAGCCGGUACGCGCUCCCCGGCCACCUCCACCGGCGCCCGCUCCCCAACCGGCCACCCUUUCCCCCUACCCGAGGUCAGCGGACAUCCGUGGCGCUCCCCAAUAUGCUAAGGCCAGGACCGCGUCGCCACCUUCGCCAGGGACGGGGACGAGCGGCUGGUCGCCGACCUCGCAACUAACCUCGCCUGGUCCGUGGAGUCCGUCCAGGUCACCCUAUGCAGCGUGUUCGACAAGGACGAUACCUGCCACCGCAAGAUCGAGUGUGUCCUCCCCGCCGACGGCACCGCUGUUAAGCCCAUCAGGCUGCAAGCCAUCUUGCUAGGCGAACGUGAUUUAUAAUGAAAUUGUGUCAGCGGCUUCCUUUCCUUCAUUGAGGGCCUGCUGCAAAUAUAACUACCAGCACAGUUGGUGUGGCGACGACGACGACGACGACAUCGACAUGGGGUUGUGAUGAGGAUUUCCUCGACACAGGGAUGCAGCGAUUGUGACAUUACACGCGGUUGCGGUGGUGGUGGUGGUGGUGGCGACGACGACGGCGGUGAUGUCGAAGACAUCAAUGAUGGUCACCUUGUAGAACUGAUAUAUAUAUGUUUGGGGCACCUAGGUGCCUGGGCACCUCGAACGGGUCCAACCCGUUAGUGCGGUUUCCAUAAAUUCUGAUUUGUUUCCUAAUAUUUGCAUGCAAGACUUUCCAUAUAUGAGAUAGAAUCAAGUAUUUUAAAUUCCAUGAAUUAGUACAUCUCCUUUUAUUGCUUUCCUUCUCUCAUACGUUUUCAUGCAUACGUUGUACACACCAUGUAUUUGCACUUAUAUAGAGAAAUUUAUUUGGUACCA